CCUACGGGAGGCAGCAGUGGGGAAUAUUGGGCAAUGGGCGCAAGCCUGACCCAGCAACGCAGCGUGAAGGAAGAAGGCUUUCGGGUUGUAAACUUCUUUUCUGAGGGACGAAAAACGUGACGGUACCUCAGGAAUAAGCCACGGCUAACUACGUGCCAGCGGCCGCGGUAAUACGUAGGUGGCAAGCGGUAUCCGGAUUUGUUGGGUGUAAAGGGCGUGUAGGCGGGAAAGCAAGUCAGAUGGUAAAACUAAGGGCUCAACCCUGAGCCUGCAUUUGAAACUGUUUUUCUUGAGUGCUGGGGAGGUAAUCGGAAUUCCGGGUGUAGCGGUGAAAUGCGUAGAUAUACGGAGGAACACCAGUGGCGAAGGCGGAUUGCUGGACAGUAACUGACGCUGAGGCGCGAAAGCGUGGGGAGCAAACAGGAUUAGAUACCCGUGUAGUC
rnacentral:rRNA from 1 species